rnacentral:rRNA from 1 species
UACGUAGGGACCAAGCGUUGUUCGGAUUUACUGGGCGUAAAGGGCGCGUAGGCGGCCCGCUAAGUCGAACGUGAAAUCCCCGAGCUCAACUCGGGAACUGCGUCCGAUACUGGCGGGCUUGAAUCCGGGAGAGGGAUGCGGAAUUCCAGGUGUAGCGGUGAAAUGCGUAGAUAUUGGGAGGAACACCGGUGGCGAAGGCGGCCCUCUGGACCGAAACUGACACUGAAGCGCGAAAGCUAGGGGAGCAAACGGG